AUGAACCCUCUCCUCAGCAAGCUCACAACGCUGCUUGGCGAGGAGUACAAGAAGCUCACGGGAGUGAGGAAGCAAGUCUCCUUCCUCAAGGAUGCGCUCAGCGCCAUGAAAGCUCUCCUUGACAUGAUGGAGCUAAUGGAUGAGCUCAAUCCCUCGGCCAAGGACUGGAGGGACCAUGUCAGGGAGAUGUCCUAUGAUGUGGAGAAUUGCAUCAAUGACUUCAUUCAUCGCAUUGAGGGUGCCCAUGUAAAGAAAAUUUUUGUCAGGAAGAUGUCUCAACGUCUCAAGAGGUUGGGGAGGCGUCAUCAGAUUGCCAACCGGUACAAGGAGCUCAAGGUUCUUGUGGUGGAGGCAAAUGCUCGGCAUCCCCGGGUGUCAGCGAUCUUCAAGCAGGUAGGUCUCAUCAGUAUUGAUGGCCCGAGAGAAGAGCUUGUCAGUUGGUUGACAGAUUCACAGAAGAAACUAAGUGGUUUUCAUCUUGGGUUCAGGAGGGUUGGAUAA
rnacentral:rRNA from 1 species